rnacentral:rRNA from 1 species
CAACAGGGAUUGCCCUAGUAACGGCGAGUGAAGCGGCCCAAGCUCAGAUUUUAAAUCUGGCGUCAUUUUGACGUCCGAGUUGUAGUCUGUAGAGGUGUAUUCGAGUGUAGAUUUGGCUUAAGUUCCUUGGAACAGGACGUCAUAGAGGGUGAGAACCCCGUUAACGGCCUUUGUCUUAUGCUCAUGUGAAUCUCCCUCAACGAGUCGAGUUGUUUGGGAAUGCAGCUCUAAAUGGGUGGUAAAUUCCAUCUAAAGCUAAAUACUGGCAAGAGACCGAUAGCGCACAAGUAGAGUGAUCGAAAGAUGAAAAGAACUCUGAACAGAGAGUUAAAUAGUACGUGAAAUUGUUGAAAGGGAAGCACUUGCGACCAGACGCACUUGCAGCUGAUCAAUUCUCAUUCUUUGAGGGUGCACUCGGUUGUCUUGUGGGUCAGCAUCAGUUAUGGCGGUGGGAAAAAGACCAUGGGAAUGUAGCUCCUUCCGGGGAGUGUUAUAGCCUGGGGUGCAAUGCUGCCUGCUGUGACUGAGGACCGCGCCUCGGUGAGGAUGCUGGCAUAAU